rnacentral:lncRNA from 1 species
GAGUAUGCUCUCAUGCUUCUCCAGUCCAGGAAGAUUGUGAACAUAUUCAAGCUGACCCGAAAAAUGGCGAGAUGGGGGUUCCUUCUCCAACAAACUAAGAAGGGGCCGUACAUUCUCUUGCGGAGUAGCUGUUGAAGCAGGAAAUCACGAACUCAACUAAGAAGGGGCCGUACAUUCUCUUGUGGAGUAGCUGCUGAAGCAGGAAAUCCAUAUGAUGCCCUGUCAGUUGAUAUUCUACUUGUAUUACCACCUCUUUGCUGCCUAAGGCC